GAGCGACAAACAGACAGACAGAAAGAAAGAAAUCAAGCAACAACAAAAGUGCUUGUUUGUUUGUCUGACUUUUCGGACUGGUUCUUUGCUUAAAUUUUAAUAAUAAUUCAAAUAAAACAUAUGCCACACGCACACACACAGGAACGUGGACAACGCACGCAUGAGGCGAACAUCUUCUUGCAUAUGUAUUGUGUAUCUCUUUGCGUGUACAUUGAGUAUAUUUUUAUAAAUUCCAAUACACCCGCCAGUGACGUCUGCAACAGCUGCUCCCCCGGAGCGCAGGAGCAAAGGCCGUCACAGGGCCCAAACGCAGGCCACGAUGCCGACUGACACCCGAGGGACGCAGGAGCAGGCGGAAGGCGCUCACCACGGCAGCGCCGCUUCUGGACAUGCUGCUUUCCGUCCGAUUACACUACACUACAACAAAAAAAAAACCAGCACUUCGAGGGGGUGGUGGGUGGUUGGUGGAGGGACGGCUUGUCACGCCUACCGGAUCACAGCAAUACGUUUGUGGGGGAUGGGGGGGACU